rnacentral:rRNA from 1 species
ACGCCCGCUCAAGAAACUACGAAAGGAAGUUGACGGGGCCCGCACAAGCGGUGGAGUAUGUGGUUAAUUCGAUGCAACGCGAAGAACCUUACCUGGUCUUGACAUCCCGGAGACCCUUAGGAAACUAGGGGGUGCUUCCAUCUGGAAGAAUCUGGAGACAGGUGCUGCAUGGCUGUCGUCAGCUCGUGUCGUGAGAUGUUGGGUUAAGUCCCGCAACGAGCGCAACCCUUGCCUUUAGUUGCCAGCAGUUCGGCUGGGCACCCUAAAGGGACUGCCGGUGUUAAACCGGAGGAAGGUGGGGAUGACGUCAAGUCCUCAUGGCCUUUAUGACCAGGGCUACACACGUACUACAAUGGCCGAUACAAAGGGCAGCGACACUGCGAGGUGAAGCCAAUCCCGUAAAAUCGGUCUCAGUCCGGAUCGCAGUCUGCAACUCGACUGCGUGAAGUCGGAAUCGCCAGUAAUCGUGAAUCAGAAUGUCACGGUGAAUACGUUCCCGGGCCUU